GGGCCCUUAGCUCAGUUGGUUAGAGCACCUGACUCAUAAUCAGGGGGUGGCUGGUUCGAGUCCAGCAGGGCCCA
rnacentral:tRNA from 1 species